UUCGUUGGAGGACUUGGAAGGGGAGUGGGGGGCAGUGAAUUUGCCGGAGGAUCCCGAGGGCCAGCUCUGUGACCGGAGGGAGGAGGCACUCGUGAUGGGCCAGGAGGGGGGCUUGGUGCAGGAGGCAGAGCAGAGUGACCAAUCCCCGGAGGAACUUUCGCUGCCGGUGUGAUCUCCCCGGGUACACAGGCACGAGAAGCGGCCUGAGCAAGUCAGGGAGUUGAGACGCAGCAGUCGCUUGCAGCGUGCACAAAACCGAUGGAGGGCGGCUGCCUGGGCAGAGCGCUGAUUGAUGCCAGCUGGCAACCUGCCAUAAAUUCUGCAGGUUCACUCGGGACGGGCUGCUGGAGAUGACAGCCUCGCUACCUCCCUCUGUGAUGCCUUGGACCUGGGACCUUUGGGAUCUGAUGCUGGACGAAACCUUGUGCCUGCAAGGAGGAAGUGUGUAACCUCGCUCUAUCCCCUUUCUCCACACCAUGCAUGAUUUUAGAGACCUCUGUCAUGUCUCCCUGCACUUGUCUUUUUUCUAAACUAAAAAGCCCCAGGUGUUGUAGCCUUGCCUCAGAAGGAAGGUGCUCUCCUGCCUUGGAUUGGUCACUUAAUUUCAGUCACUUAAUUUACGCUCGAGCUUUUCCAGCUGCCUGAAACAGAGCACUGAUAAUGAUAUAUGGACACUGAAUGGGUUUGCUUGAGUGGGAAGAUCUUUUAUUCAUUUUAUUUACGUAUUAAAAGGCCUAGAAUCUUUGUUCAUUA